rnacentral:lncRNA from 1 species
AAUUUAUGGGUCAUUAUGUCUGCGCAGUCAUCAACAACAACAUCCUAAGAGACAUAAUUAAGAAUUUGCAGAAAUACAUCAAAACAGGGGUAAGUUCCCGAAAACCACUGCACAGAGAGAGAGAGAGAGAUAUAGAUAGAGAGACAGACAGAGAGAGGUCUUAUUUUUGCCUGCCAGUUUGGCACCUCAAAGGGAUUCUCAAGUCAUCACAAAGUCUCAGAAGCAAGAACAUGAAAAGAAAUGUCGAUCCUCCAAGAAAGAACCCCCCUCCCUCCCCCAAGUUCAUGGCAAUGGCGACCAGAUUCACAUCCUGCGAGUACAAAACAUACUUUUUCUUUAGCUUAGCCAUCUAAUAAAGGGAGUAAAUGGAAGCCAGACAAGUACCCAAAGGCAUCAAGCAAAAACCAUCAGUAAGCAUAUGAACUGCAAUCUGGAUCUGCAUAUCUGAGAAAGUAUCAAACUACCCAAUUUGAGUCGAUUCGGUGAGCAAGAGACCAUAAUUUUUAUUUCCCUUAACAGAAUAUAAGUUGAUUGGGGCAGGCUUGAAUCAGCCAGUCCAACUUUGUCCUGCAUGCCCAGACAGCCAGCUGGAGAGGGCUCAACAAGGCCGAAUCCACCAGAUGAGAUGCACACUUGUGUUUCAAUUAGGGAUAUUUAUCCUGAUUUUAAAGCAUAAAUAUCCUUCUCCCCAAAGGAUUCCAAACAUAACCCUAAAAAAUUCACAGCACGGCAUCUGGACUAAAAAGAACUUUCGUUAUAGGCUCCAGAAAUUCUGACCAUAAAAAAUGGAAUAUACAUCAAAAGGUAUAAUAUGGAUAGAUAAAGAAGCAGAACUUUUCUACGAAUCUUGAACUGUACGAAGGUUUACAUGAAUGAAAGCAUCAUAUCUUAUUUGCAUGUAACCAUAAUUUAUGGGAGGGGGACAGGGAGAUUAGUGGCAAAACGACAAAGAACUGAAAUCUGAUGACGUGCCUCAGGGUUGGUUUUCUUAGAGGCUUCUCAUAUAAUAUUAUAAGGUGAAAACGCAGACACUGUUGGCCUCUCCUUGACAGUUAAGAUAAUAAACGUUAUGAAAAGCCCAUAGUCAUUUUUACGAAAAUAAAUCUGUGACUACAAAACUGACUACUAUACUCACUUCGAAUUAGGUUUGAUUUUGAUGACCCAAUAACUUUAACAUGAAACUUGAGAUGAUGACCACCCUCGGGGGGAACAAAAUAUAUCUAUAUUGUCCAUAGGAUAAAAGUCAGGCUGUUAAGAAUAGUCGUGAAUUAGUUGUUAUAAAAAUAAAUUCCUUAUAAUAAAAAUGGACCUACUCAACUCGUUUGUCAAUUGACUUUCAUAGAAUGGCCGGAGAAGUCUAAUAAACUAUCCCAAGAUAGUUUAUUAGUCUUCUAAUAAACUAUCUUGGGAUACGAGAUAAUAUCAAAAGUCAUAUUUUCUGGUCUUGUUGUCCUUCUUUAACUGAUUAUUGCACCCCAGGAGUUAUUGUAUAAAUGUAAUCUGCUCUAAGACAACAAUCAGCAGAUAACGGACCUCCCAAUGGGUUGCUCACCGUUUAGUUGAGAAACCAAAAUGGAAGGAAAUAAAGACAUUCCAUCAGCAGAUUAUGAGCCUUCAAGCUCCAAGUUGUUGGCAGAUCUGGUGAUCCCCUCUCAGAUAUUCAUGAGCGACAGUGAACUUUCAAUAGCGUAUAUUGGCUUGUUUAUUUACGGCCAACAGAAAUAGAAGACUCUCGUCAAAUACUUUAUUAAUGAAUUGACAUUUUUGGUCUACAGAGUAUAAAUUAUAGAAGACCAUUACUUUUGGAUUGGCCAAGAUUUUAAAGAGUUGAUGGUAGAUCUAGAUCCUCUGUCUCAGCUUAAAAUGUCAGCAUCAUUCCGCCAGGUACUGGAAAUCUCAAUUAAACCGUUCUCCUAAUAGUUAGCAAUAUGUUUCGAGAUGAGACAUCUACCAGAAUCUGGUUGGAUGGUUUUCUUCACUCACAGGUCUGUAACCAUUGUGGUAGCUCGUCAUCAUGUUAUUUACUUCCAGACAUCCUGAACUUUUGAGAACGGGGAGGGAUUUCAGAGUUCCUCUACCUGCAAUACUAGACAAUUCAGUGUCAGGGCACCCAUCUAAGGAACAACAGGAAUAUUGCAGUAGGUUCCUUCCACAUGAAUGGGCUGCGCCUGAUACCACAGGGAUGGAGUUAGCAGAUCCUCUGAAGAUAGAGAAACAAGAAGAAGACUAGGACCUGCCCAGAGAUGCUGAAACAGGAAAAGACAGAAGGGAGGAAUCACAUCAAGAAAUGGGAGGUCAAGAGGAGGUGGUAGUAGAAAUAGCUGCGGUAGUGUCAAGGGGACACAUGGAAAUCGAGAAUGACGAAGUGAGGACGUUCCUAGAGCUUGUAGAAAGAAAGACCGGCAAAUAAAAUCAGGUCCCAUUCAAUCGAUAGACCAUGAUGUUCAUGUCCUUAUGGGUGAGGUUAGAAGAAAAUAGGGAAUGAAUAUUGCUGCUACAAGUGUCAGAAUGAGAAGAUUACCAAAUGAGGGAAAGUAGAAGGAAAUAAGGAAAGGAAAGAGCCGAGGGAGAUGUUGGUGCACAAGAAAGGAAGGUCAACGCUUUCACCAUUAUAUGCAGAUAGUCAGAAUGGUGGCAAGGGAGUUAGCAACAAUGUCAUGGAUGAAAGCUAGUAAGGAAAUCAUGAUGAAUAUAAGCGCCACCAGGCUGAUUAAAUUUUCCACAGUAGCCAACAGAACAUAUGGACAAUGUAGCUCAUGGAAGAGUAGCUUGACUCCUGUGAACCAUGGAGAUCCUCU